GUUGGAUGGAGCAAUAACUCAGAAAAAAGUAGUCAUUUAGAUGUGUGGAGUGUUUUCAUGUUCCAUUGGCAAGAAAGUAAGUGGAGAACAAAUCCAUACUUAGGGAAAACCCAAAACAUUCUGACUCACUGGAAUCUGGGAGUCCUGCCUGACUUCUCUCCCCGCCUUCCGUCUGUCCUCCUGCGGAUCAACAAGUCCCAUUGAUCCCGCUCCUUCAGACUGUGCUCCAUUAGGAGAGGAGCCAUAUCUGGUUCGCUCUUGAAUCAUUCAUUCAUUCAUUCAUCCGCUAAACACUUAUUCAGGGCCUGAUACAGCAGGCAUUGUGUUAGGUGCUAGGAGGAUAAACAUAAGCAAGAAUUAUCUCUGCCCUCAAGAUGUCGACGGCAUCCUGGAAGAGGGAGAUACGGAGCAGAGGCUUCUGUCUGAACGUGUCUUAAAUCAGACUAGCCACAUCUCAAGUGCUUGAGAGCCAUCUGUGGCUAGCGAGGACCACAGUGGGGAACGCAGCUCUGGACGCCUUUCCCAAGAACACACGUCUAUGAACUCUUCUGCGGAAACAGCUGGCAGAGCUGCCUAGAUACAUCCCUCCUGGAGAUCCAGACAAGGGAUUAACACAAGAAAGUCUCUGAGAAGUCUCCCAGGCAUAAAAUGGUUGUAUCUACUGUUUCUCAAACAUGCGCGGCCACAGAAACCAUCACUCCUCCCAGCAUAACCAACCACAUGUGGUCUGUGCUCUUGGGCAGCUCUGCUCCACAUAGCGGCAGGCUGCUGACGAGUCCGCAGCAGACAGGGGGCAGAUGACCCACUCUAACAGCAGCCCGUGCGACAGGGUCGGGGGAAGAAGAGUGGGGACACACGUCUAUGAAGAAACUGUUUUGGGGAAUGAUGCAAGGCACUAGCACAAAUGCCGGGAGGACCACAGAGGUUCUCCUCGUUCCCAUCAGUAAUUAAGUCUUUAUUUAGUAAAGAAUGUGAAUUUGCAAAGAUUUCAUCUGACCUCUUCCCAAGCUGCAGAUUUGACGAGAAUAAUUUUCUCACUCAUGUUCAUUGUUUGGAUCAAUAAUUAAAUCCUCAAUUAAAUAAAAAAUUUUUAAUAUCUUAUUGAAAAUUUUUGUGUGGGAUGUGCUCAAGAAAAACCUCAUUUUUCCUGUUUCCAGUUUUUAAAAAUUUAAGCAAACUGCCUCUUUGAAGAUUUUCUAUUUCUUUUUACCUUGUUAUUUCUUUCCGCACUCCACUGUUGCGUUUUCUGUUUCUAUCAUGAUCACAGUUUUUACUUAUUCUAAUGCAAUAAAAAGAAAAUGUAAUUAUAAUCAAAGUGUACACAAUUUUAAUGUAUUCUUUGUCAAAAAUCAUAGAUCAUAGUAAUGUAAAGGAAAUAAAAUUUUAUGUACAUUUUAAAAAUGUAUUUUUAUUUUGAAAUAGUUAAUAUAAUCUAUUAAAUUUAAACAAAAUACAAAUUAUAAAGUAUAAUAAGAGUUAAAAUCAAAAUUAUUUAAACCAACUAAAAUUUUUGUUGAGGUUUUAAAAUAUUUAAUGAACUCAUAUUAAAUGUUUAUAAAAACACAAGUAUUUACAAUUUUAAUUUUAAUAUCCUCCUCAUUGCUAAUAUUAAAGUUGAUAUCACACGUUAUGUCUAGACCUAUAUACGUAUACAAAUUUAAGAGUAAUGUGAAUUCUUUAAUAUUGUGAAACAUUCGCCAGUCUCCACAUGCAGCAGUGGCAAAUAUUGCUGUAAUUCAUGAGUCUUCCAGAACCACCAAGCGUACUCCUAGCAUUUGUGGGGUUUGAAGCAAGAUGUGAAGACCCAUGUAGCACGUGUCUAAAUAUAUAAAGGUUGUAAAUCACACUAACAAAGCAUAAAAUAAAAUGUGUUCUAUUCCCUGAUCUUGAUGAAUAUACCUUCUGGGUUUUCUUCGGGGGAGGAAGAUUGGCCCUGAGCUAACAUCUUCCCAUCUUCCUCCUUUUGCUUGAGAAAGAUUGUCACUGGGCAAACAUCUGUGCACAUCUUCCUCUACUUUAUGUGGGAUGCCGCUGCAGUGUGGCUUGACAAGUGUGCUAGAUCCACUCCUGCGAUCCAAACCGGUGAACCCCAGGCCCAAAGUGGAGCACGUGAACUUAACCUCUAUGCCAUCGGGCCAGCCCCUGAAUAUACCUUCAUAAGGACAUGGAAGGUCAAGUUCAAAUUAAGCUUCUCGAAGAACCAUGUCAGAAAGUCACAGCACUCCAGCCUCCAGCCCCACACUUCACCCCUUCUCUUGCCACCUUCCAGCUCCAGCCCAGCCCACGUGGGUCUUGCACACUUGCAUGUAUAUACUGUAGUCUACAUGUCCAAGAUCUGACUAUAGAUGGCAACCCUUGGGCAGCUCUCCAGCUUAAGGGUGUGCAGCAGGGCGAGAAGGAGGCCACCACGGUCGCUGGUAAUGGGCUCAGGGCUAUUUGAACAGGGAAUUCUGGGGUGGGAGGAGACGCAAGCUUCAGGUGGGCACACCUGGGCCCUCUGUCCUAGGCCUGCGAGGAAGGGCACAGUCAAGGGAGGACCAGGGUAGAGCCCUUUAAAGUACAGGCCGAGGGCCAGCAUCUGAAGGUGCUACAGGAACCGUAAAUUGGAAUGCAAAGAGAAGAAAGAAAAGGGCAGUACUGGGAAGUGUGUGAGGGGAAGAACUUCGGCAAGUGUGUCGGCUUGCUGGAGCCGCCGCAGCAAAAUGCCGCAGACUGGGGGCUUCAACAACAGAAAUUUAUUUCCUCACAGUUCUGGAGGCCAGAAGUCCAAGAUUAAGGUCUUAGCAGAGCUGGUUCCCUCUGAGGCCUCUCUCCUUGCUCGUGGACAACCAUCUUCUCCCCAUGUCUUCACAGUCUUCCCUCUGUGUGUAUCUGUGUCCUCAUCUUUUCUUCUUCUAGGGACACCGAUUGUACUGGAUUAGGGCCCACCAGUGACCUCAUUUUAACUUAAUUACCUCUUUAAAGACUUUGUCUCCAAAUACAGUCACAUUCUGAAGCACUAGUCUUCAACAUAGGAAUUUUGGGAAGACACAACUCAGCCCAGAAUAGCAAGCUUCUUCAUAUGUCUUUCCUUAACCCUUGCCCACUGAAAUUCCUCGGCAAUGUGAAGGAAGUUGUGUUUUUCUCAUACAUGAGUAAUGACACAAGCCCCAAGUUUAGUAGCUCUCGGGGAGUUGCCUUUUGUUUGGGGAUCUAGGGAAGAGGUGUGCAGAAGAGAUUCGGGGAAGCGUUUCCCUGGGGCUUGAACACUGUCAGUCAUGAGAGUGGACGUCUGGGGUUCUGGGUUGACUAUUCAGUGCUGAGCACCACGUCCUGCUGAACAGAGUCACCGCGUGUCCUUCAACAAUUUUUUGUGUUUCUGAUUUGCUGGUCCCUCCAUAGCACAGCACCCGGGGGAGUGACCCUUCUUGUCUGAGUCUCCAGGAAGUAUUCCAGGAGCAAUGAGGGCUUCCGUCAUAACUGUGCAAGCAGGGCUAGAGGACGAGAGAGUAGGAGAUGAGUUGAUAAAUACGGACACAAGGCAAAAUCUGAAGCAGUUAUGGUAGGGAGGAAGAAAGAGGAAGGAGUCAGGAGUAAUUCCUUGGUGACUAGGUAAAUAGUAAUAUUGCUAACGAGAGAGAAUCCUGCAAAUCUACUUUAGGGAAAGAGGAGGUGCAUUUUGGGUACGCAAAUUCCACAGGUAAAUUCCACCAAUGGCAACUCCUCAAGCUCGUGUUCCCGUCGUAUGUACAGCCUGGUUAAUUAUGCCAGCCAGGAGAAUUCGAUUUAUAAACUAUGCUGGUGGUUUGUAAGCUAGUUAAUAAUCAACAUACAUCAGUUGAAAUGUGAAUUAGCCGAGUUUAUUAAUGAGAAUAUAGUCAUGACAAAAGCGAGAAAGAAAAGGGAGCAAGACAAGGGCAUAGUAUUUAAAGGAUUUGUGUGAAAACAAAACCAAACAUAAAUGAACAAACAAAGGAAGCAAGCCUUUCUAGAAGAAUGCUACCAUUCAGCUGUGACCUUGGCUUGGGACUUCAAGAGCCACCUCUGAUGAUGCCUGUGACACAACAUUCACUGAUUCAUUUCUAGAGCAUUUCCUUAUCAUUUAGCAUCAAAUGGUAGGCACUGAUGCUAACUAUGUUUGAGCCAAGUUUUACAUUCCAGGAAUGUUCAACAACUUUUUUUUCUCUUUAAAAAGACCUACACUUAUAAUACCUAUUGUAUAGAAUAGCCAAAAGAUGGGAAUAACCCACGUGUCCACCAACACAUGAAUGGAUAAACAAGAUGCAGGAUAUACAUGCAAUAGAAUAUUUUUCAGCCAUAAAAAGGCAUGAAGCUCUGACACACGCUACAACGUGGAUAAACCUUGAAAGCAUUUGGCUAAGUGAAAUAAGCUAGACACAAAAGCACAAAUACUGUACGACUCCACUUACACAAAGUGACGAGGACAGGCAAAUUCAUAGAGACAGACAGUAGAUCAGGGGUUACCAGGGGCUGAGAGAAGGGAGGAAUGGGAAGUUACUGUGUAAUGGAUACAGAGUUUCUGUUCUAAUGGAAAAUUUUUGGAAAUAGAUAGUGGUGAUGGUUUCACUACAUUGUGAAUGUAAUUAAUGUCCCUGACUUGUAUACUUAACAAUGGUUAAAAUGGCAAAUUUGUAUAUUUUAUCACAACAAGGAAAAAAACCCUUUUGUGUAGGUUUUGAGCACACAAUAGAGUUGAGUACUCCACAGUUUUCCCUCAAAAAAUCAUAGUCUAAUGUGUUCUAAAGCAAUCACACCAAAAGAAGUGGAUGUGAACUUACACCCCAAUUACUGACUAUGGGACCCAGACAGUGUUCCAGAAUAAAACAAUUUUCUGUUUAAUAGAUGCUGGUUAGUGUUGGAAAUAAGGUUUUUGGGUCAUCAGUUCAUUCUCAACACAAGAAACCCAAUCUAAACGCAUCUUCAGAGAUGAGUUCCUCUGGGCCAUUCCUACUUGCUACAUUCGUAGGCAGUGCCCUACUUUUAAAUUUAAAAAAACCAAGUCAAAAAACCCUACAAGAUUUCUUAGUAGGAAAAAUAUAUUUUAUAAACCAAAUGAAGCAAAAUCCCCAGCAGUCUCUUUCUCUCAAGUUUGCAAGUCCUUUUUUCCUUAAGGCAUUAGAUCUAUUUUUUGUUUUAUUUUUUGUUUUUUAAAAUAAACAUUUUAUUUUAGAAGAUUUUUAGAGUUAUAGAAAAGUUAAAAAGAUAAGUCCAGGGGCAGGCCCCGUGACUGAGUGGUUAAGUUUGCACGCUCUGCUUCAGCAGCCCAGGGUUUCGCUGGUUCAGAUCCUGGGCGGACAUGGCACCGCUCAUCAGGCGGUGCUGAGGCGGCGUCCCACACGCCACAACUAGAAGGACCCACAACUAAAAUAUACAACUAUGUACGGGGGCGAUUUGGGGAGAAAAAAAAAGAAGAUAGGUCCCAUGCACUCUACACCUAGCUUCCCAUAUUGUUAACAUCAGUAUGGUACAUUUGUUACCAUUAACGAACCAAUAUUAACACAUUAUUAUUAACUGAAGUCCAUACUGUAUUCAGAUAUCCAUAGCUUUACCUAGGGUCCUUUUUCUGUUCCAGGAUCCCAUACAGGAUACCACAUUACAUUUAGUUAUCUUCUCUCCUUAGGCUAUUUAAGACUAUGACAGUUUCUCAGACAUUCCUUGUUUUUCAUGACUUUGAGAGUCUGGAGGACAAUUUGGUCAGAUAUUUUGUAGACUGUCCCUCCAUUGGGGUUUUUUGGAUGUUUUCCUCAUGAUUAGACUGGGGUUAUGGAUUUGGGGGAGGAAGAUCACAGAGGUAAAUCAUCAUUCUCAUCAUAUCAUAUCAAGGAUAUGUACCAUCAAUAUAGCUUCAGACUGAUGGUGUUGCCCUUAUCGCAUGGCUGAGGUCCCUUUGUCAGGUUUCCCACUGUAGAAUCAUGCUCCUCCCCACUCCUCCCAUCCCACUCUCUUUGGCAGGAAGUCACUGUUUGCAGGUCAUACUUAAUAGGACAGGGAGUUGUGCUCCAGCUCCCUGAGUGAAGAGGAGAACUUCACAGCGCAGUGAACCUUACUGGCUGCAAAGAAAAAUUUUUUUUGGAGGAUAAAAAGGUGCUUUUAUUGAGAAUACUUAGAUCAAAAGCACAGCUUCCAAAACUUUCUAUGCUAGUAAGAUGAGUUUAUUCCAUUUAACCCCUGCAUAGAGAAGACCAAAAUAAUUACAAUUUUCUUCACACUUGGUCAUCAGAAAAUGAGAGAACUUAGCAUAUGUGAGUAUUACUUUAAGGAAACAAAUGAGGUUCAUAUUUAGCCAACUUGGUGUCAAAUAGUUUUAUUAGGGGAUAAAAUAAAAGAUACGGCAAAAUCAGUGUGGUAACAGAGUAAGGAAGGAGUGGACCAUGGACCGAGAGCAGAACGAGGCAGGUGUCUGAAGAAAGAUGGAGAAGCGAAAGUCACUCCAGAGUUGUGACAUGGACACCAACUUUACCCUAACAUAUUUUAAUAAAGUUUUGAAACUUUCACUUCUUCCUUUGUAAGACUAAGCAUCUUCUUAAGGAAAAUACAGCAAAAAAUUCCUGGUCCCAAGUCCAAGAAGCACCAUUAAAGUCCCUGCUGACUUUGAGAGGGUUUGUGAACAAGUGGGCUCGUCUGCCUUGGAGUCACGCUGGGAUACGAAAAGAGAUAUAUAAUCACUAACAUUAUUUCCUUUUUUAAAACAUAUACAAAUAAAAAAUUUUUUUGGAGAUUAGGGGGAUCCCAGGAUGGAAUUCAGGUAUGACAAAAUAAUCUAACUGUAUUACAAAUGUAUGAAAUAAUCUUAUCGAAGAAGGCAGGGGAAGUUGCUGAUCUAAGUAACAUGGGAAAUAAGUGGAGACUAUAAGACUAAAGACAAAAGGACUGUCGGUGCUCACUAUGCUCUACUUGUUAAGUUGUGUCCCACAGGAGUAUGGGCUCAUUUGGAAACCCCUGCAUGUGUACACUGGAAUGAACAAUAAGUAAAUGGACGGUGGGUGUUGGGAGCCAAGUAUCUCACUUUUGGAGUGGAAGGUUAGAGAUGAGCAAAGGGGAAGGCUAGAAUGAUCCAUGUGGUACUGGAAUGGAAUGACCCAUAUGGUACUGGAUUGGAAUGAUCCACGUGGUACUGGAUUGGAAUGAUCCACACGGUACUGGAUUGGAGACAUCAGUAUGAACUCAUGGUUAGCUUAAUAAAGAUACAAAUGAAUACAUAUAAAAACAUUUAUAGAUAUGUGUACAUAUACUUAGCACACACACAUAUAUUUCCUUGUUUUGUGUAAAACAAAACAAGGCCUAAAAGCACCAAUGCUCCAGUAGCAAGAGAUGGUUUCCAAUAUCACUCUCCAGUCAAAGGACCUAAGACUCCUUAGAGAAAUGGCUGAUUUUAGGAUCGGGGCAGGAAAUGCACCAGAUGAGCCUGCAGCAUCUUGUAGCGCCAGAAAGUAAGGAAGUGCUCAAAAACACCCCAACAGUAACAAGAGCUAAAAACUCCACAGUUGUGGGGAUAUAUCAAAGGGACACAGGAACCACGUGAAAAAGCUCGCAGUGACCAAAGCUGGAACAAUUUGAGCAAGAAAAUAAAUCAAGCAGAAUUGGAUUAUAACUCAAAGUAUAAAACCAAUAUCCAGGCGUCCAUAGUGAUCUAAAGAAAUGAUUAAACAAAUACGUCAAUAAAAGAGUAGGAGAGAAGAGACAAAUCCGAUGUGCAGAAUUCCAAAUAAUUUUUAUAGAUCUAAUUUUUAUGCCUAUAAUUUUCAUUUCAACACCAUACAAAAUUAUAUAAGUUAUUAAAAAUACUGUAUUUGAAGAGGAAAAACUAAGGGCUGAUAAGGCCACAGGUCAUCCUUCAACUGAAGUGAGUAAACUGAUGGGCCUGUGAAGCCAUCAGCAGGCAGAUUUUCACUUACUUCACCCCUAGGUUGCCUUGGUGAUGACCUGCAUCUGACAACUGCUACUCAUUCCACUUAGAUCUUAAGAGGACACCCUUCUUGAGUCUCCCCACACCUAUUUGAAUUACCAGGAGUGUGUGUCCUUAUAUAAGAGGACAGUCACACCCACAUGUACACACCUUCCAGAAGAAAAAGAAAUGUAAAAAUCUUUUGUUUUCAUUUGUAGAUUAAACAAGAUUUCAGUGUUUCCUAGUUUCUGAAAACCACACAAUGAUGGGAUGCUGACAUCUUCCUGGUCACCCACUGCUGAUGGCUCAGAGCGUAAGGACCACAGUGACUCAGCCCCCAAAACCACAGACACGCCCCUUGUCCUCCUGGAGUGCAUACAAAGGAGGGUGGGCUGCGUGACUAGCCUGGGGACACUUCCAGUAAGUUACGGAGUUGCUCAGAGCAGGCACCAACAAUGGCUAGUUUUAAAAAGCGAAAUAAGCAGCAUCACAGCCACUGCUGAAAAAUGUGUUCAGUCUUUUCUCUGGGAAAGCUUUGGCAGUCGGAGAUGGUUGAAAUGCUGGCAGUGCAUGCUCCAGCCGUAGUUCUUCUUUCCUACAUGGUCUGUGUCGCAGUGUGUGUCCUGCGCCAGCCCACCCAGGUAGCUGUGAAUGACAGCCCCCUCCAGAGAGCCUUUUAGAAUGAGAGGGCAUCUCACACCACCCUCUUGUCUGCAAAGCAAUGGCAGGCCACAGGGAGCCUUCAUGCAUUUUCAAGUAACAAUCUUGCCUUUAAGAUCCUUUUUUCUUCUAUUCUGGAUAUAACAACUGUUGGAUAGAUAUGACACUGAAAGAAGGGCAAUUCUUAAAGGACAAUUCUUAAGAAACCCAAAUUAGGCUUAAAUUAGAAAACAGAUGUGCCUUUAAAAAUAACUUAUCUCAUCAUACAAGCUAGAUAGAGCAGAAAUCAAUUGUCACAUAAGAUCUACAAAAUUUAGGUAUAUACCAAAAGGCCACAACUGGAUGGAAACACUCCUUUUCCAUAUCUUACUCUCUCCAAAGUCAAUCCUAAAAUAAAAGACCCAAAAUGUUCACAUUUAACAUGACGUUAAAUGUCCCCGGCCAACGUUUAAGAUUGAAAUUGUUAAACUAUCGAAAAAAUGAUGCAAUGUUUUAAUUACUCUAUACAGGGUACAUUGUUUUGUAAUUUCCUUUUUGUAAUGGAAACAUUUUCUUUUCCAGGACCGUGUAAACACUGAAGAAAGGACAAGGUCAGGUUGACAGAUCGUGGAACUUAGAUAGCUAUUGGAGGUCGACGCUUGCUGUGAUCUUCAACGUUUGCACCUGCUGUGGAGUAAGCUGACGUCCUUGGGCACCUUAAGGGCUCAGCUUAUGCACAAGUUGGGAAGAAGAAGGAGCCUGGGAGAGUAACUCCUUACCAACCCCCUCAGGCCCUUCUGCAUCGCUCUCAAGGGACGCUGUCCACCCAUGGCAUCUUGUUUACAUCAAUAGUAAGACACAGGCAUCAUCUUCCACUUUUUAGCUACAAAUGAAGAAGAGACCUCUGACACCCACAACUGUGACUGGCACUUCGAUUCUGACACGGUGUGCCAGGCUCUCAGAGUCCCCUCCACAUUCCAUACAGCUGUUGAUGGUGCAAAUUUGGGGAUAUUCUCCCUGGUUGGUCUUUCUCCAUCUUAGAUGUGCCCUUUGGCACAUCUCCCUAUAGAAAUAUAUGAGGCAGUUGCCACCUCUAUUAAGAGUCCUGCCAUUGAUGCACAUUCGGGGUGAAGUUAAUGCAUUAAAAAAUUAUCCUUGGGGCCGGCCUGGUGGUGCAGUGGUCAAGUUCACGCUCUCCGCUUCAGCAGCCUGGGGUUCGCCGCUUCAGAUCCUGGGUGCAGACCUACACACCACUUAUCAAGCCAUGCUGCGAUGGUGUCCCACAUAUAAAAUAGAGGAAGAUGGGCACAGACGUUAGCUCAGGGCUAAUCUUCCUCAGGACAAAAAAAAUUAUCCUUCAUCAAAAUUAUUCCCUUCUCUAUUAGAUAGCUUAUAUCUAGGGCGACCAGAUUUCCAGAGCGGGGAUGGAGAAUAGAGGGGUAGAGGGAGGAGAGAUGGUGCUUGACAGGCAGUAUUGUCACUAGGGAAGGAUACGGGUCAAAAAACAAGGAUUAUACCCCCUAAAAAGAGCAUUCUUGUCACCUUACAAGGAUUAUAGAAAAGUUACAAGUUAUAAUCAAAAUAAAAUAUUUAGUUAACAAGGAACUGUGCAUCCUUCACAUAAUUGCCGAGUAUAAUUGCUAGUCACUGCAGUAGAAACUGGACAUAACAGAGACAGCUGAUGUUCUCCAGUUGUAGCCUCCUGGAGCUACAGUCUAGCAUCUGAGACAAAAUGAAAGUCCUGUUUCUGCCUGUGUUUGCAAAAGGGGGACAUGUUAUGGUCCCCAAAGUAAUGGAAACAAUGAGAAAAAAAUUUUUGAAAAAAUAGUGAGAAUACUAUAACUAAGUGAUCAUCUUUUUUUUUUUUUCUAAAGUACGCUUUUUCUUGGUGAGAAGAUUGGCCCCGAGCUAACAUCUGUUGCCAAUCUUCCUCUUUUUUUCUCCCCAAAGCCCCAGUGCAUAGUUGUAUAUCCGAGUGGUAGGUCUCCCUAGUGAUUGCAUGUGGGACACCGCCCCAGCACGUCUUGACGAGCAGUGCUCUGUCCGCGUCUGGGAUCUGAACCAACCGAACCAGGAAACCCCAGGCCGCGGGAGUGGAGUGUGUGAACUCAACCUCCAGCUGAUUAUCUUACUAUUUAUUUCACUUACACCUAUCUACCCUCUUAGAGCUACAAUUCUAAACUAAAAAUCAGGAGGCUUGCCCAGUACUGCCAAUUUUGACAAUGAUCUGGUAAGACGUCGUCAUUUAUUUCUCCUGUAUUUUUGCUUUCCUAUCAGGUUGGAAAUAUGUAUCUUCUUUCUAAUCUGUAAUGUAAGACCUGGAAAUCUCUUUCAACUUUUCUGGAGAAAGUCUGCACCGCAGCAUAAAAUGCUCUUACAUUUUAGAGUGAACUCUGUGUGUGGCAACAGAGAAUUAAUAAAGGGUAGUGAUCCACGCCUCCCAAAAUAAUCAGGGAGUUAGUCUUGUCUAGUUAUUUCACCACAGCUGAGUAGAAUCGGAAUUAAGAGCUGACCAAGAGAGGAAAUAGAGGAGUCUGUGUAGGUGAAGAUAUGAUCAAGUUAGCAAGUUAACAGACCAUACCAAUUCCCCGUGGACGCUGCCACUUCGAAAGGCUUAAAGGCUCUGAAAUUUCAUGAAGGGUUAUCUCAGGUUUGGAAGGUAUGAAAUUGUUGAACAUUAUCAGAGAUAAAUGGGGGGAAGUAGACUAAGGCUGAUUCAAAUAACUCUUUUGAAUUACAUGCCUCAAGAUGUUUUAAAAAUAACAUUAAAUCUAUCAAAUUAAAAGUAUUUCAAGUAAUGCUUGAUACUAAACUAAGAGCGUGGAAUUGUGGACAUUCAGAAGAUUUUUAAAGAACUUACUGGUUUUACUCUAGAGCUGUAACAAUUCUGUGAGGCAUUGUGAGACAAAGACUGGAAGAGCAAAGAAGUCAGAGAAUUGAUCCUGGCAUUUGGGGGCAACUUUUCCCCUUGAGAUGGUUGCCAAUAACAGAUAAGCCCUCACAGAAGAUGAAUCCUAUCUUUGAAUCAUCUUAAUCCAUAAUUGGAUUUAUAGUGAUUUCAGAAAACUAGUGCCUCCAGCCUAGUAAAUCAUCCUUAGAGAAAGAUAAUGUCAUUAAGAGCUUAAAAUUGCUUCCAAAAUCUUCACAUGUAAUGCCCAGUACCCAAUCAAAAACAACCAAGAAUAAAAGGAAACAAGACCAUAAGAUCAAAACCCAAAAUAAACAACAGUCCGUAGAAACAGACCUACAUGGAUCUAGAUAAUGUGCCCAUCAGACGUUUAUUUUUAAAUGCUAUACUUAAUAUGUUUAAGGACUUAAAAGACAGGACUGAAAAUGUUGGCAAAGAACUAUGGAAGAGAACCAAAUGGAAACUUCAGAACUGAAAAAUACAGUCUGUGAAAUUAGAAAUCAGUGGAUGACUAUAAAGGAAAUUUCCAGAGUUGACUGGGGAAAAUCUUACACUGGUCCCAACAUUUUGCUGUAAUUAUUACUCCAUAUGUUCAAAGCAAUCUAGGAAAAAUGUGCAUAGAGAAAUAUUUGGAUUUGGUUUCUCUAUAGCCGAAUGAAUAAAUAAUACUUGCAUUCAACUAUAUAAUUCAGCAAAACAGUUUAGAAAUUUCAAGGUAAAUACAGAACUUGUCUAUUGUGACGUGUUUCUCACUGAAGGACCCUUCCAAGUCAAUAAACAAUUCACAUUAUUUUUAUCCCACUCAACUCUGACUUAAUAUAACUUUCUUUCUCUGAGCCCAAAGCUUAGGAAUCCUCAAAACUUGGAUUUCUUUCUUUCUUCUUGGGCCAAGAGCUUCAGUGAAAAUAUUCUAUUAGGAGUUAGGAAUCUGGGCUUUAGGCUGAUUUUUGCGUCUAUCUCUGAUGGACAUGGCCUCAUGUGGCUCUUUGUCUCUUCAACUGUAACAUGAAGGUGUGGCUAGCUGAGCUCAAGAUUCAGCCUUCUUUAGCUAUAAAAGUCAAUGACAGUAAUAAUAAUGGUUAUUAGACUCUCUGAGGAGAGGAGGGUGUGUGUAUGUUUAAAAAAAGAAGGAAAGAGAAGGAAAAGAAUUCCAGAAAUAAAGGGAAAAUAUAACUCUUACCAUGGAAGGAAGUUACCGUCCACUCAGAUUAACUGUGGGAAAAUAAAAAGCCAAAUGUUGACCAAUUGUUAACGUUUUCUUGAAGGAGAGACACACCUUUUCACACUAUGAGCUCCUCAGAAGUUGACCCUGUAAAUGUCUAUGUGUAAACCCUUUUACAUAAUAAUUAUUCCAUUUUACAUCUGUAUGAUGCUUUGAGUUCAUAAAUUCUCCAUACAUUUCAUCUAUUUCUAUCUUUAUAACAAACCUAUUCGGGACAAGGUGGGGCCUAGAAAAAGUAUGCAGGUGACAAAAAAGCUCUGCCCUUUGCUCAGUCUGAGGACAGGAUCGUGUUCUCGUUUAGAGGAUGGAUUUAUGCUGAACUUAUGCUCUCUCACUUCUCUCUCUAGUGAUCAAAAUAAUUGAGAAUUUGCUAUUGUCAGGAAUGUACAAUGGGGACAGCAUCUGCUUUGUUAGAGUCAUUCUAAGCCAACUGGAUAAUCCUAUUUUAAAUUAAAAAUUAGAUCGUAGCUCAAAAUAAUUCUUAGCAUAGUGAUGAUGUUCAAAACAGUAGAAGGUUAUUUUCUAUUCCCUGCAUUACAUGCAGUUGUAUCUGCAAUGCCUCACCCAGGGUCUCACAUAUACAGGUGCUCAAAAAAAUAGGUAUUGAAACAGAUUCUUGAAUUAAACUGGUACUCUGUGGGUAUUGUAUCAAACCCGACAGGCUUACCAGGUAAGCUGAGGACAAACCUUCAAGGAAAUUGUAAUUUAAUGUCUAGAUAUCCCUAAAUGAAGAGCUUUAGACUCAUUUCUAUUAGGUUUUGCUUAUGUGUUUUGUCUUGAUGAGGUCACUUCAUAAUGGUCUUCUGCUUCUCAACAUAUUGCCUUAGCUUUGCUAAGUGUAGUUUAAGCAAAAUUUCUCUGGAUUUUCUUCAGCUUUUUGGCUUGUCAUACUGAAAUACAGAGAUCGAUAACAAAAGAAAAGCAAUCAAACUUAUCACAGGCGUCCCUGAUCUUGUGUGGCACUUACUAAAUAUACGUGAUGGGAAAGAAUUACACUUGUUCCCCAGGAGAGUUAGUGAGUGGCAAUAAUAUUUAAGAGGAGGAUGGGGAGAAUGUUCUUUUAUUAGUAAAAUGAAUUUCUAUUAGGGAGAAAGAACAGGUGAGAAUAGAGUUUACGAGAAAGAAAACAAGGCUAUUUUUGGUGGACACAUACAUCAUAUCUGAACUUCCUCUAUGUUGAAUGUGUUUGUGCCGCCUGAAAGCCAAGAUAAAUACAGCCCAUGGUUAACACAGGUUGGCGUAAGGGAAGCCAUCUUAUAGAGGGGAACCAUGUUAGGACUAUAAAUGACCCCAAUCCACA
rnacentral:lncRNA from 1 species